AACGCUUACGGCGGGCUUACACCCUGCAAGUCGAAGGGGCACAUGAGGUCUAUGUUUUUAGAUUUCGAUGGCGACCGGCGAACGGGUGCGUAACACGUACGUAACUUACCUUUUGCUAGAAAAUAGCCUGAGGAAACUUGGAUUAAUAUUCUAUAACAUAGUAUUAUUGCAUGAUAAUAUUAUUCAACGCAGAUAUGCGGCAAAAGAUAGUGCGUGCGUCUGAUUAGUUAGUUGGUAGGGUAAAAGCCUACAAAGACAAUGAUCGGUAGGGGGCCUGAGAGGGUGAUCCCCCACACUGGUACUGAGAUACGGACCAGACUCCUACGGGAGGCAGCAGUGAGGAAUAUUCGGUCAAUGGAGGAAACUCUGAACCAGACCACGCCGCGUGCAGGAAGAAGGCCCUAUGGGUUGUAAACUGCUUUUGUAUAGGAAUAAAAAUUCUUACGAGAUAAGAAUCAUGAAGGUACUAUACGAAUAAGUGUCGGCAAAACUCCGUGCCAGCAGCCGCGGUAAUACGGAGGACACAAGCGUUAUCCGGAUUUAUCAGAGGUUUAACAGAGGUGCGUAGAGCGGUUUAUUAAGCUCCAAGUAAGUGCACAU
rnacentral:rRNA from 1 species